rnacentral:snRNA from 1 species
AGCUUUGUGCGGUGACAGUAUUGUAGCCAGUGAGCUUUAUCCAAGGUGCAGUUAUUGCUAAUUGAAAACUUUCUCCAGUGUCCUGCUGUGGUAACUAGAAAUAUAAAAGAUUGUACCAGAGGUAGUAUUAGAGUGGUACAUGGCUCUCCACAAGCCUUAUACC